UAAGAAAGGAGCAGCAGAUCUCGUCUAAACCCAGUCCCCUGAUACCCAUCACGUACAACCCAAACCUGGGAGACAGCCUUCCACCGAAUGCCUGGCCAAUAGACGACUGAGAUGGAUACAUACCAAUACACACAGUCCUGAACAAUACAGGAGUCCAACCAUUAAGUGUAAUUUCGGGCGAAGAAUCGCCCACGCUAAUGCAC